rnacentral:rRNA from 1 species
CUACGGGAGGCAGCAGUGGGGAAUAUUGGACAAUGGGGGGAACCCUGAUCCAGCAAUGCCGCGUGUGUGAAGAAGGUCUUCGGAUUGUAAAGCACUUUCACUAGGGAAGAUGAUGACGGUACCUAGAGAAGAAGCCCCGGCUAACUUCGUGCCAGCAGCCGCGGUAAUACGAAGGGGGCUAGCGUUGCUCGGAAUGACUGGGCGUAAAGGGCGCGUAGGCUGUUUGUACAGUCAGAUGUGAAAUCCCCGGGCUUAACCUGGGAACUGCAUUUGAUACGUGCAGNCUAGAGUCCGAGAGAGGGUUGUGGAAUUCCCAGUGUAGAGGUGAAAUUCGUAGAUAUUGGGAAGAACACCGGUUGCGAAGGCGGCAACCUGGCUCGGAACUGACGCUGAGGCGCGAAAGCGUGGGGAGCGAACAGGAUUAGAUACCCUGGUAGUCCACGCUGUAAACGAUGUGUGCUGGAUGUUGGGUGAUUUUAUCAUUCAGUGUCGGAGCUAACGCGUUAAGCACACCGCCUGGGGAGUACGGCCGCAAGGUUGAAACUCAAAGGAAUUGACGGGGGCCCGCACAAGCGGUG